GACGAACGCUGGCGGCAUGCCUAACACAUGCAAGUCGAGCGAGUAGAUCCCUUCGGGGUGAAGCUAGCGGCGGACGGGUGAGUAACACGUGGGCAACCUGCCUCAUAGAGGGGAAUAGCCUUCCGAAAGGAAGAUUAAUACCGCAUAAGAUUGUAGCUUCGCAUGAAGCAGCAAUUAAAGGAGCAAUCCGCUAUGAGAUGGGCCCGCGGCGCAUUAGCUAGUUGGUGAGGUAACGGCUCACCAAGGCGACGAUGCGUAGCCGACCUGAGAGGGUGACCGGCCACACUGGGACUGAGAUACGGCCCAGACUCCUACGGGAGGCAGCAGUGGGGAAUAUUGCGCAAUGGGCGAAAGCCUGACGCAGCAACGCCGCGUGCGGGAUGAAGGCCUUCGGGUUGUAAACCGCUUUCAGCAGGGAAGAAGCGAAAGUGACGGUACCUGCAGAAGAAGCACCGGCUAACUACGUGCCAGCAGCCGCGGUAA
rnacentral:rRNA from 1 species